rnacentral:tRNA from 1 species
ACCCGGCUGGCUCAGUUGGUAGAGCAUGUGACCCUUGAUCUCAGGGUUGUGAGUUCAAGCCCCAUAAUGGGUG